rnacentral:rRNA from 1 species
ACGAACGCUGGCGGCGUGCUUAACACAUGCAAGUCGAACGGAAAGGCCCCUUUGGGGGUACUCGAGUGGCGAACGGGUGAGUAACACGUGAGCAACCUGCCCUUGACUUCGGGAUAACUUCAGGAAACUGGGGCUAAUACCGGAUAGGAAUCCUUGCUGCAUGGUGGGGGUUGGAAGCUUCGGCGGUUUUGGAUGGACUCGCGGCUUAUCAGCUUGUUGGUGGGGUAGUGGCUUACCAAGGCUUUGACGGGUAGCCGGCCUGAGAGGGCGACCGGCCACAUUGGGACUGAGAUACGGCCCAGACUCCUACGGGAGGCAGCAGUGGGGAAUAUUGCACAAUGGGCGGAAGCCUGAUGCAGCAACGCCGCGGGCGGGAUGACGGCCUUCGGGUUGUAAACCGCUUUCAGCAGGGGCGAAGCUUGUGGUGACGGUACCUGCAGAAGAAGCACCGGCUAACUACGUG